rnacentral:lncRNA from 1 species
AAAUAUUUUUAUUACAAUUAGUUUUGUGUUUUUAAGUCUGGGAAGAAAUGUUACAAGAAAAGAAAAUCUGUUUGGUCUCAGACUUAUCCUUAACAACAUUGAAUAACAGAAGGCAGUGUGAGGCAAGUGCAACCUAAUUUUGCAGGAAAUGGAAAAUCUCCAUACAUGAGUUGAGUUGACAUUUGUUUUUGAAGACCUUAGAGAGAUGUUUGUAUAAAUACAAUAGCUCAGCAAAAUAUACCACAGAUAAAGGCUUUUUAUAAGUAUACUUGAUAAAAUAUACCAAUAAAAUAAGAUUUACAUCAAAAAAAGAAAUUAAGAAUGAAAAAUCAUAUACUAAAAGAAAUUUUGUUUUAAAAGAGAAAUGUUAAAUGUAAAAAUAGUUGAAAAUAUUCCAGUUAAUAAAGAGAAAACAAAAAAAAAAAUAAAAAUACGUCAUUUAGUUUGUUAAAAUAAAAUCACAAAUUGUAUCAGACUAUGAGGGCAAAUGACACGAAGGGAAUCCAAGAAUAUUAAAUGUCUCAUGUUAGAGGGGAAAAAAAGAGACAUUUUUAAAUUUUGGAUUUAAUUUUUAGUACAUUUUUAUAAAGUUAAAAUAUUUAACAGGAAAACAAAUAAUAAAAUAAAUAGCUUUCAAAUCAAAAGACAAAAAUAAAACCAUGCAAUAGAAGUCUGAAUAGGAUGAAUAGAAACUGAAUAAAAAUAAGUAAAUAAAAGCCCAGGAAAGACAUACACCCAAAUACUUUAAUGUUAUAAUGUUAUAUUUUAAAAGCAGGGUAGAAAAUUUAAAUUUAUACAUGAAUCUACAACAAAUGAAAAUUCUCUAAAAUGGUAACUGGUUAUUUCUACUGUUUUAACUUAUUGGUAAUUUUUAUUUUUUCUUUAUAUUUAUUUACUAAAUUUUCUAAAAUAACUAUUUUUUCUUUACAAUAACUAAGAAAUACAGGUUAGAACAAAAUAAUCUAAGAGGAAUAUUGGCUUCCUGUAUGGUCAGUUUGGAUAGAAAAAAAAAAACAAGAAGCAAAUGGAGAGAAAUAUGAUGAUUUUAUAUUAAGGAAGAAGAAUCUAAGGAUUAGUUAUCACUCAGGAUAAGGGUAGUGAUUUCUGAAAUUAUAAACCAGAGAAGCUAAACAUAAUUGAAUUUUAUAUAAAAUAGGAGAGAAAUGCUAUCUUCACAAUCAAUGGGACAUCAAAGCCAGUGUGUGAAAAUAUGCAAGCUGUGUGUUGUUGUGUAUUUAUAUAGAUUUCCACAAACAUACCAUUGAUGCUAGCGACUGUAGGGAUAGAGGUUACUCCCAUAUGCAAUCUCACUGUCCAGUUAUUUCCUACCUAACUUUUGACAUUAUCCAUUGAGAAAUGUUGUACCUCAUUAGUCAAGUUACUCUAAACUUCAACUCUGUGUAUUGUUUUUUUAAGUAUCUCUUUAAACAGCCUUCUAUUUCAAAAUCCUAAUUUUUUUCUCAAUUAUAUUUCAGUUUGUUCUCUGUGUGAAAAAAUAUUUUCUCACUUAAAUUACUGACUUGGGUAAGAUGUGUAUGGUUUUCACAAUGGACAUUAUCUUUUGAAAAGUUACAACAUUUUAUUAUUGGUUCCCCGAGCCACUAUGGCAUAAAUAGCUAGAAAUCAAUUGCAUCAGAAGGCUCAUAUUUUAUGUAUUAAAACUGCAGAGGAAACUACAGCUGAAAAAUUAUCUUGUAGUGAACAAAUGAGUAAAGCAUCGGUACUGCAUUAAGUUCACCGUUAUCUUACAAAUCCCAGCUAAAGCGGCAGACUAUCCAUCAGAGAGAAUGAACACAUUCUAAGCAUAUAAUUUAUCAAAUAGGCCAUCUUUAGUAUCAAUUUUUCUUUUGAUUUUUGAUCACUUUGGAUAAAAAAAUGAUUGGAUUCACUAGAAACUAUUUUUCAGAAUAAAUUACAGCCACUUAGAUAUAAUAUCUACUAGAAAAAAGUUAAACCAGACAACUCUUUUCAUUUUUUUUUCUUUUUCUUUUUUUAGAAGAGAUACAUGCAUAGCACAUUAUGAAGUACAUGUUCCUGGACCUCUGGAUAUUAUUCCAUCAAAACCUAAAUGCUGUUCUGAAUAAAACUGCUUCUGUAUAUUGUUGAUUAUCUAUCUUUUUCUUGAUUUGUUAACUUUCUGAAUAUGUUAGCAAUGGAAUUGGUAGCAGAAUUGAAAAAAAUGAACCAUUUUAUGGCACUUUUUGUUGUUUUUUCACAUUUCCAAAAUACGUGGAAAAAAAGUUUUUUUUUGCCAUAUUAUCUGGUAGUCAUCUUCACAAAGAAGUUCUUGAGCCUCUCCUUUUCUUACAAGUUACAAUUCAAGAAUUUCUAUUUAGAUGACUCUAAUUUACAUUAAAUUAUAUCAUCUAAUUUUGAAAAAGUUUUAUUAAACUGCUGGAAACUGGAAUGGGGCAUUAGGUAAAGAAAACAGCUUUCAAAUAGUGGUGAGUUAUAUUUUGCUCAACUCUGUGGGAUUCCUAGUCUCUUAUAUUUUAAUUUUUUUAAGUAAAACUACAUGAAAGAGUUGACUCUAAAUAGUAGAAGUAUUCUUAGAGAGGAAUCUGAUUUUUACAUUCAAAGUAUCUGUUUGAAGCUAAUGGACACUCGAGAAAAUAACGGAAAGUAAGCAGUGUAUUUUUUUUCUAUUCCUUUCAUCACAUAUACCAAUAUUUCCAGUUAGGGUUUGGAAAUUGUGGGUAUUUUGCAUAUUAGUUCAUUUAUAGUAGCUAUAACAUACAUUGAAUAUUGAACUUCUUCAUAUCUGAGUCAUCAUAAAAAUGGAAAGUAACAUUCAUACAAGGAAAGUACAAGCUUAAAUCUCAACCUCAAGAAUCCAAUGGCCCAAUUUACACAAAACUGUAAAAGUUUCUAAAUGAAACUUUUCUCUUAGUAAUGUUUUGUUUAUGUUGUUUUUUGUUUUUGUUUUUUUGUUAUUUUUAGUGUAUAGGCACUUUACUAAUAACAAAUUUCUAUAACUCAUGCAUCAUUGGUAUUAAAAACUAAAAAAAAAAAAAAAAA